rnacentral:rRNA from 1 species
CUCGAUGGUAGUGUAUUGGACUACCAUGGCUUUCACGGGUAACGGGGGAUUAGGGUUCGACACCGGAGAGGGAGCCUGAGAAACGGCUACCACUUCUACGGAAGGCAGCAGGCGCGUAAAUUACCCAAUCCUAAUUCAGGGAGGUAGUGACAAGAAAUAACAGACCGGGUAUUUACCCGGGUUUGGAAUGAUAUCCAAAUUUACACACCUUGGUGAGGAGCAAUUGGAGGGCAAGUCUGGYGCCAGCAGCCGCGGUAAUUCCAGCUCCAAUAGCGUAUAUUAAAGUUGUUGCAGUUAAAAAGCUCGUAGUUGGAUUUCUGAAGGUAGUAGUCGGGCUGCCCCGUGUGGGUACGUCUACAACUAUCUUCAUCCUUCUGUUAACGAUUCUUGGCCUUCAUUGGCUGGUUUCGAGCUCAGAUACUUUACCUUGAGAAAAUUAGAGUGUUUCAGGCAGGCUUUGCGCCGGAAUACAUUAGCAUGGAAUAAUAGAAUAGGACUUCGUCUCAUUUUGUUGGUUUUAUGAACGGAGUAAUGAUUAAUAGGGAUAGUUGGGGGCAUUAGUAUUUAACUGUCAGAGGUGAAAUUCUUUGAUUUGUUAAAGACUAACUUAUGCGAAAGCAUUUGCCAAGAAUGUUUUCAUUAAUCAAGAACGAAAGUUAGGGGAUCAAAGACGAUCAGAUACCGUC